ACCCAAAUUCAAAUCCCCUUGAUCCUAUGUCAAAUCCAAAUCAAAUCUCUUCUCUAGCACAUACAACUAGAGUUAGAAUCCUGACCUAUUUAAAAUUCGAUCAAAUUCUAAAAUACCUGAUUAGAAUUGAUCAAAUCAUAUGCAAUUGAACUCUGAUAUAUCCACUCAGAGUUCACUAAUUUAAACUCUAAUACAUACACUUGGAGUUUAAAUUUCAUCUCUUGAUUAAGCUCUAAUACAUACACUUAGAGUUUAAUCUUCAGUUAAUCCUAACCCAUAUAAUUAGGAUUCGGCCUAUAAACCACCUUAGGGUGAACCCAUAUGA
rnacentral:lncRNA from 1 species